rnacentral:lncRNA from 1 species
CCUUAAUUGGACCUCACUUCACAUAAAUUCCGGUUUUUGUUGAAAUCCUCUGAUUCAAUAGCAAAACAAAACAAAAGUCCCUCUUCUGCUUGCUAACUAGAUUAACUUGGGCUAGUUCCUGAUUUUCUCUGAACUUCACCUGCCUCAUUUUUAAAUAGGAAAAUAAUACCUGUUCUUUCCUAUCUCAAAAGGUUGUUGUCAGAAUC